UGGCGGACGGGUGAGUAAUGUCUGGGAAACUGCCUGAUGGAGGGGGAUAACUACUGGAAACGGUAGCUAAUACCGCAUAACGUCGCAAGACCAAAGAGGGGACCUUAGGGCCUCUUGCCAUCGGAUGUGCCCAGAUGGGAUUAGCUAGUAGGUGGGUAAAGGCUCACCUAGGCGACGAUCCCUAGCUGGUCUGAGAGGAUGACCAGCCACACUGGAACUGAGACACGGUCCAG
rnacentral:rRNA from 1 species